CUGAAGGGAAUGGAGUUAAACCAAUGGAAACAAGACUUGAAUCUAUAUCGACCACCACCAUCCUGAAUCCAUUUAAGAGUAAGAUAAGAUGACACCUCCCUGAAAGGCUGAGUGUCACAACUACCAGGCUUUCCAGUUGGUGUCUAUCUUUGGAGACAGUCAACACCACUCCUGUAAACCUAACGGGGAGACAAGAGGCUACGUUAUGAAGAGAGUAAUGGGAUGACCCUAAACAACCAGAGCUGCUUGAAGGCACUGCACUUCUGUGGUUUAAAAAAAAAAAACUUGUGAAGACAGAAGGAAACUGAAAGAGGAACCACGGGGGCCGGCUGUUUAAAAAAACCGCACCUAUACAACACUAACACUUCAGUAAAAGUGAAAUCUCACCUUCACAAAGCACAGAAACUGACUUAUGAACUCCCCUAAUGAGAUCUCAUCCUAUAAUUGUCACAAACAGUAGGACAAUGGCUUCAACAUGCCAAUUAUAGUUAACUGUUAUUUAAGCCCCAAGGUAAUACCUCUCUCUUGUUAGGCAAGAUGGGUUUGACGCUUAUGUGUUUCAGAUGGACAUUAAACUUGAUAAUAUGAACAUCUUGUUGCACACAUGAUGUAUUUGUCAAACAUCCAGAACAAGGUGUUUAGGACAGAUUUUACUCUCAGCCUAUCAUAAAUCUAAAGCAACUUCAGUGAAAUCAGUAGAGUUAUUCUAAGGAAUGGUAGCAGAGCCCAGACUUUAGGACCCAAUUCCCUAUGUGCACA